rnacentral:rRNA from 1 species
UACGUAGGGGGCAAGCGUUGUCCGGAAUUAUUGGGCGUAAAGAGCGCGUAGGCGGUCCGAUAAGUCGGCUGUGAAAGUCAGGGGCUCAACCCUUGAAAGCCGGCCGAUACUGUCGGACUAGAGUCCGGAAGAGGCAAGUGGAAUUCCCGGUGUAGCGGUGAAAUGCGUAGAUAUCAGGAGGAACACCUGCGGUGUAGACGGCUUACUGGACCAUAACUGACGCUGAGGCACGAAAGCGUGGGUAGCAAACAGG